UACCAGCACCCCGAGUGGUCGGGACGAUUAUUGGGCCUAAAGCAUCCGUAGCCGGCCUUACAAGUCCCCCGUUAAAUCCAACUGCUUAACAGAUGGGCUGCGGAGGAUACUAUAAGACUAGGAGGCAGGAGAGGCAAGCGGUACUCAGUGGGUAGGGGUAAAAUCCAUUGAUCCAUUGAAGACCACCAGUGGCGAAGGCGGCUCACUGGGUCUUUUCUGACGCUGAGGAACGAAAGCUAGGGGAGCAAACGGG
rnacentral:rRNA from 1 species